rnacentral:rRNA from 1 species
UACGUAGGGUGCGAGCGUUGUCUGGAAUUAUUGGGCGUAAAGGGCUCGUAGGCGGUUUGUCGCGUCGGGAGUGAAAACCUUGGGCUUAACUCAGGGCUUGCUUUCGAUACGGGCAGACUAGAGGUAUGCAGGGGAGAACGGAAUUCCUGGUGUAGCGGUGAAAUGCGCAGAUAUCAGGAGGAACACCGGUGGCGAAGGCGGUUCUCUGGGCAUGAUCUGACGCUGAGGAGCGAAAGUGUGGGGAGCGAACAGG